GCAGGGGUCGCCUAGUCUGGCCAAUGGCGGCAGGCUUAAGACCUGCUGGGUUAGUCCCUUCGAGAGUUCGAAUCUCUCCCCCUGCA
rnacentral:tRNA from 1 species